rnacentral:rRNA from 1 species
ACGGCCGUACCAUGCUGAAUAUACCGGUUCUCGUUAGAUCACCGAAGUCAAGCAUCAUUGGGCGCGGUCAGUACUUGGGUGGGGGACCACCUGGGAACACUGCGUGCCGUU